rnacentral:rRNA from 46 species
AAAACUUUCAACAACGGAUCUCUUGGUUCUGGCAUCGAUGAAGAACGCAGCGAAAUGCGAUAAGUAAUGUGAAUUGCAGAAUUCAGUGAAUCAUCGAAUCUUUGAACGCACAUUGCGCCCCUUGGUAUUCCGAGGGGCAUGCCUGUUCGAGCGUCAUU